rnacentral:rRNA from 1 species
AUUGAACGCUGGCGGCAGGCCUAACACAUGCAAGUCGAACGAGUGGCGGACGGGUGAGUAAUGUCUGGGAAACUGCCCGAUGGAGGGGGAUAACUACUGGAAACGGUAGCUAAUACCGCAUACCAUCGGAUGUGCCCAGAUGGGAUUAGCUAGUGGGUGGGGUAACGGCGCACCUAGGGGACGAUCCCUAGCUGGUCUGAUAGGAUGACCAGACCCAGUGGACCGGAGACACGGUUCAGACUCGUCCGGGAGGCAGGAGUGGGGAAUAUUGCACAAUGGGCGCAAGGCUGAUGCAGCCAUGACGCGUGGAAGAAGAAGGCCUUCGGGUUGUACAGUACUUCCAGCGGGGCGGCGUUACCCGGAGAAGAAGCAUCGGCUAACUCCUCGACAGCAGCCGCGGUAAUUC